rnacentral:lncRNA from 1 species
UUUUCCCUUACCCACUCUUCCAUAACAACCCAAUGGUUUCAAAAUAUCACUUUCUCUCUCUAAACCGCCCAACUCUCCUUUCUCUCUCUCCAAACCCUUCAAUACCUCUUCCUCUUCCGUUCCUUUUUUGAUUAAAUUCAAUCGUGUCUUCAUCUCUUCUUCACUUGAUAGCACUGCAGAUGCAGAGAUCUCUCUCUGAACCCCCCAACUUCUCAUCUGUCCCGUCUCCGCUCGAGGCCGCCGACGGCGCCGCCUUGGAGACCCGCCUUCGGGAAGCUGAGGAUCGGUUGAGGGAGGCCGUAGAGGAACUGGAGCUCCGGCAGCGGCGCACACAGUAUCGUCACCCGCCCUACGAUCACGCUGUUGAUUCAUGGUUGCUUAUCCUCCGCCGCCUCCCGUCGCUUGGCCUCAUCGUCACCAACAGCACCGGCGUCGACCACUAAGGCCUUAGUGGGGAAGCAGAUGCAUCGUCACCAAUAGCCCUUCAUAGGCCUUAAUAUACCUAUGAAGGGCUAUUAGUAUUUUCCUCUUACCAUGGAGGUUUCCACAUUUCUGAUAAGGUGAUGUACAAAUUAGCAAUCCCUUUAAUCUACUUCUUCGCAUAUUUUCAUUCUAAAUAACAUUCAUUAAGGUUAACUAACAAAUUGAGUACAAGACCAAUUUUUAUUAAAAAAAAUAUGUGGAGUAAAUACCACAGGUAGAGUAACUACUUAGCUUACAUACAAGGAAAAACAUUCAUAUUUACUAAACUCUCAAUUGUUAUCUCAAAACUAGGAAUAAAUUAUAACACUAAACCAAAGACAUGGCACCAUAACAGAAAUCCAACUGAUCAUUUAGAGAGGGAGAAAAAUCAAAUGCACCCAUCUAUCUACAAAAGUUACCUGAAAUGAUAGUGGCCAAGCCCGUGCUUAAAACCCCACUUAAAUUCCCCAACAUACCGGCUGCCAUCCUCACAAGUAUGAAUACCACAUCCAUGACUCUGCCCAUUGGCCCAUUCGCCAGC